rnacentral:rRNA from 1 species
UACGGUAGGGGGCCAGCGUUGUCCGGAAUCAUUGGGCGUAAAGCGCGCGUAGGCGGCGCGGUAAGUCGGGUGUGAAAUCUUGGAGCUUAACUCCGAAACUGCAUUCGAUACUGCCGUGCUUGAGGACUGGAGAGGAGACUGGAAUUUACGGUGUAGCGGUGAAAUGCGUAGAUAUCGUAAGGAAGACCAGUGGCGAAGGCGGGUCUCUGGACAGUUCCUGACGCUGAGGCACGAAGGCCAGGGGAGCAAACGGG